UUAAUACCCGAUAGCAUAAUGAUUCCGCAUGGUUUCAUUAUUAAAGGAUUCCGGUAAAGGAUGGGGAUGCGUUCCAUUAGGUUGUUGGUGAGGUAACGGCCCACCAAGCCUUCGAUGGAUAGGGGUUCUGAGAGGAAGGUCCCCCACAUUGGAACUGAGACACGGUCCAAACUCCUACGGGAGGCAGCAGUGAGGAAUAUUGGUCAAUGGGCGUUAGCCUGAACCAGCCAAGUAGCGUGAAGGAUGAAGGCUCUAUGGGUCGUAAACUUCUUUUAUAUAAGAAUAAAGUGCAGUAUGUAUACUGUUUUGUAUGUAUUAUAUGAAUAAGGAUCGGCUAACUCCGUGCCAGCAGCCGCGGUAAUACGGAGGAUCCGAGCGUUAUCCGGAUUUAUUGGGUUUAAAGGGAGCGUAGGUGGACUGGUAAGUCAGUUGUGAAAGUUUGCGGCUCAACCGUAAAAUUGCAGUUGAUACUGUCAGUCUUGAGUACAGUAGAGGUGGGCGGAAUUCGUGGUGUAGCGGUGAAAUGCUUAGAUAUCACGAAGAACUCCGAUUGCGAAGGCAGCUCACUGGAC
rnacentral:rRNA from 1 species